rnacentral:rRNA from 1 species
GGCCAGACUCCUACGGGAGGCAGCAGUGGGGAAUAUUGCACAAUGGGGGAAACCCUGAUGCAGCGACGCCGCGUGAGUGAAGAAGUAUUUCGGUAUGUAAAGCUCUAUCAGCAGGGAAGAAAAUGACGGUACCUGACUAAGAAGCCCCGGCUAACUACGUGCCAGCAGCCGCGGUAAUACGUAGGGGGCAAGCGUUAUCCGGAUUUACUGGGUGUAAAGGGAGCGUAGACGGCAUGGCAAGUCAGAUGUGAAAGCCCGGGGCGCAACCCCGGGACUGCAUUUGAAACUGUCAGGCUGGAGUGCAGGAGAGGUAAGUGGAAUUCCUAGUGUAGCGGUGAAAUGCGUAGAUAUUAGGAGGAACACCAGUGGCGAAGGCGUCUUACUGGACCGAAACUGACGUUGAGGCUCGAAAGCGUGGGGAGCAAACAGGAUUAGAUACCCCAGUAAAA